UUUCCGUAGGUGAACCUGCGGAAGGAUCAUUACUGAGUGAGGGCCCCUCGGGGUCCAACCUCCCACCCGUGUUUAACGAACCUUGUUGCUUCGGCGGGCCCGCCUCACGGCCGCCGGGAGGCAUCUGCCCCCGGGCCCGCGCCCGCCGAAGCCACCUGUGAACGCUGUCUGAAGUAUGCAGUCUGAGACAAUUAUUAAAUUAAUUAAAACUUUCAACAACGGAUCUCUUGGUUCCG
rnacentral:misc_RNA from 1 species